rnacentral:rRNA from 1 species
ACCUACGGGGGGCAGCAGUGGGGAAUAUUGCCCAAUGGGGGAAACCCUGAUGCAGCGACGCCGCGUGAGUGAAGAAGUAUCUCGGUACGUAAAGCUCUAUCCGCAGGGAAGAAAAUGACGGUACCUGACUAAGAAGCCCCGGCUAACUACGUGCCAGCAGCCGCGGUAAUACGUAGGGGGCAAGCGUUAUCCGGAAUUACUGGGUGUAAAGGGAGCGUAGACGGUGAUGCAAGUCUGAUGUGAAAGCCCGGGGCUCAACCCCGGGACUGCAUUGGAAACUACCGAACUAGAGUGUCGGAGAGGUA